GGCCAUAUCACGUUGAAAACAUUCGUUCUCAUAUAAUCACCGAAGUGAAGCAAUAUCGAUCUUGUUUAGUAUCUAGAUGGGUGACCGCUUGGGAAUGUCGGGUACUGUAAG